UGCCACUGAGACAUUGUCUAAAUUUCAUGAGAAGAGCAUGUGCCUGCUUUUCUGGAUCCCUGCCUGCUCCGUCCUUGUCUCUUGAAUAUAAUCCUCAACAUUAUUGGCUGGACCAUAGUGGAUGACGGUUUCCACACUUUCUUAGCAUUGUGUAUACACAACGUAAUUAACGGAUUCUGACAUCAGCCACAUAUCUCGGACCACCCCACGAGUCUCUCUUAACCGUUCAAUUAACGUUCCGCUUGGUGUUGCCACACCUGUCCGCCAUCUGCUGUUGAGAUACUGUAACAGUUCUCGUCUGAAAAGAGGACUUCUCCCACUGCUGGUGCUGUGCUACCCACUGAAGACGGUCCAGGAAACAAAGAAGAAGACUGAAAGGAUACCACUGGGAGUGCUUCAGUGAGGACCUCAGUGACCGUUCUCCAUCACAGUAGGUGCUCAGCGGAGGGGACUACCUCACCCUUGAGAGGCAGAAACAAGCCAAUCAUGCACUUACGAGAUGGACCUACACCAAGUUCCAGAUUACAAGGACUUGUUCCAAAGAUGGAAGAGUUCCAUAACGAAGCUGAAUUUCUAAAGGUUAUAUGGAAACACUUGUACUCGUCCUCCUCUAACAAGUCUGUUUGGCACUCUGCAUGCUGCAAAGGAGCACAAUAAAUGCGGUGAAUGUUACUCAGGAUCCUCAUGACAACUUUUACCCAUGCUCUGAAUUCAUGGACAAGGUCACCACCGCCUACAUCGUAACUGGGGGACUACAUUACUUCCAAAUGGAACACCUCACUUCUGUCCCAACGUCAAGUUACAUGGGUGCUGUUGGCAAUCCAUAUAAAAUGAUUGAUUAUUUUCUAGGUCAUGCAGCAAAACAGUUUGUAGACAAGCACGUCUUACCGGAGGUUCCUCAACAGCCAGGUCAUGGUCUCCAAAUCAAACACACUAGCCUGCAGGUACUGUGGAAAACUGUACCAGAGACCAAAAGCUCUCCGCAAACACGAAGCAUCCGGAAUAUAAUGCUGAAAACAAUCAGGAUUCCACAUCUUCAGCAGAAUCAAGAUCAUCUAUUUAUCAGUACACCCGUCUGUCGCUCAUGCUUGGGCUUCUUCGAAUAAAUCACAACGAUUCCAUUCACAUGGGAGAUGGUGGCAGGCAUGAUGAGACUAGUAAAGUGGUUCUGUUUAUAAGGCAAGCAAAUGUCUCCUUUGAAACACAGGCAAAGGCAUAUGCUCUCCUAUAUGAACGGCAGGCUUUAUAGAUUGAUAUGGAACCGCACAGUCAACCAUCAAGGCAGAGAAGACACCAAUCAUCCCAUCGACCUUGACUUGGAGCAUUGCAACAGGGCUUUCAAAGAUGAUGUACACACAUACAAGGGGAGGUACACAGAUAAAAGACGAUUCUCAAAGUCAGCAGAAGUGCGCUGUCAAUGGAAGAAUUAUGCCAAAAAUACGACAAAUUGGCAUUCCGCAAGAAAAGUUCGGGAAGGCAUGGAGUUGUUGAUCCUUCUUGGUGAUAUUCUUAAACUUGUAGAACAAUUCCAUUCCUAUGCAGCUCUAUUCAAUGAGGCCAACAAGCCACUGCCACAGAGAAUUCAAGAACAUGCUGAGUGACAUCCAAAAUUGGAUUUCAGAAAGUCUUAAAGUCUUCAGUAGCCGCACAUACUAUAACAUCUGAACCUUUUUUCCCGAUGUGUAAUUCAGUGUCACAUGAUUAAAACGAGACCCUGUUGCAAAGUCGCUAUCACUGUAUGUUUCAUGAUCUUCAUGUUCUGAGUCUGAGUGAGAUGAUGAGCUAUCACUCGAGUCAAGGGAAGUUUUGUACAACUCAAGAAUAUCACAUCUACAUUCAUUACAUGGGGUAUUGCAUGUCCAUGAGUCUCUGCAGUCACAGAGACACUUGCAAGAUAUGGCACAGUUGUCCAUAGCACUCAUGACUUCAGUAAGCUCAACUCGUCGACAUACGUUGGUUCUGACAUACUGUUUCAUUUCAUCCGAAAUAUUCCGCCUGCCACUGAGACAUUGUCUAAAUUUCAUGAGAAGAGCAUGUGCCUGCUUUUCUGGAUCCCUGCCUGCUCCGUCCUUGUCUCUUGAAUAUAAUCCUCAACAUUAUUGGCUGGACCAUAGUGGAUGACGGUUUCCACACUUUGUAAGUCCCAAGCUGAAUGGUGUUGAGCAAUGGACUAUCAAGGGACUAUCAUCCUCUUGAAACCAUUUGGAUCCAUGAAGGACUCUGACACACUUCCCUGUUUUCCUUCUCAUUCAUACAUAUUCUGUAUGUUGUUAUGCAUGAUUGAUGUUGAACUUUAAUUGAAACUUUAGCUUGAAAAUUGGCCGAUUUCUUUUAUGAAAUUUAACUCCUAUUAUAAGAAUAAGAUCAACAUAUGCAAAAACAAUUGUUGUUAGAUGAUUAUUUUUUUGUAACUGAUCAACAAGAUCAACUUUAGUGUUUUAGUGUUUUAACUUAGCUAAUGUAAUGUAAUACAGUGGAUGUAUGCAUUCCUUUUUCAUAAGGGCAUGAACAUAUAUUACAUAAUGCCUCUACCUGGGACUGCGGCCAAACUUACAAAAUUAACCCUUGUUUGAGAGUAACAAGUAUCAAGUUCAUGAUGAUUGUAGAAGUGAUUGUAUGUAUUCAUAAAUGUGACACAUGCACAUUUUGAAAUGUUAAUAUUUGUGCUUUAACUUUGAUUUGAUGAAUAUCAAAUUAGAUAUUGUAUACACUUUAUAGCUACUUGUGAUCAGUGCACAUUUUUAUACCUUUAGAUUGUGCAGUUUCAUAGUGGUUAGUAAGAAUAUUUUGUGAAUUUAUACUUGUUUUAUCACAAAACAUGUGAAUGAGUGAAUGUCGUCUCAUACUGCAGUCAGCAAUAUUGCAGCCAUAUGAAGGCAGCCUGUAAACCAGUAAUUGAUACGCACACCAUCCUAGUACAUAAAACAUUCGCUCUCCAUGCCUAUUUAUGGUGUCCCCGUCGUGAUUUUGCUGGGAUAUUGCCAAAAGAUGCGUAAAUCCAUGCUCUCUCAAUUCAACAUGCCAUGCCUUGACAGACAAAACGAAAUACAAAAUAUAACAUUUAUACUUACAAUUUUGCAAUGCAGUGUGCUUCAUCAAUGAAAAUUGCCAUCAAAAUCUUCUCUUUAGUCAGGCUGUGUUCCAAGAACUGUCUCUGGACUUGCAAAUAUUAUUAUGUCAGUGUCAGGGUGAAAAAACCGUCACAGUAGUAGCAUGGUUGGAGUUAUUAAGUUUCUUAAACACGAAUGGUGCUAAUUCAAAAGUAAGUGAUUUUCCUGAUCCUGUUGGAGAAAAAAAAGGACAUCCUUUCCUCUGAGGUAACUUACAAUCACUUGUCUUUGAUGAUUCCUGAAGUGAUCAAUUAUGUAACUGCAUUACCUUCCAUACCAACAGUUAUACAUGUAGUUAAGUUAAAUAGAGGGCGUAUAUACUUAAAACACAACAUCAAUCCUUUGUUCCGUUCAGCAGUGUGUCAGAUUCGUGAUGGCUAGCUUGAGGUGGCUAGACUUGCUUUUUGUAUGCAUUACUAGAUUAUUUUUUUAAAUGAAAUAAAUAUAUUCCACGGUCA